UUAAGCAUAUCAAUAAGCGGAGGAAAAGAAACCAACAGGGAUUGCCCUAGUAACGGCGAGUGAAGCGGCAACAGCUCAAAUUUGAAAUCUGGCCCCGGCCCGAGUUGUAAUUUGCAGAGGAAGCUUCUGGCGCGGCGCCGUCCGAGUCCCCUGGAACGGGGCGCCAUAGAGGGUGAGAGCCCCGUAUGGAUGGACGCCUAGCCUGUGUGAAGCUCCUUCGACGAGUCGAGUAGUUUGGGAAUGCUGCUCAAAAUGGGAGGUAAAUUCCUUCUAAAGCUAAAUAUUGGCCAGAGACCGAUAGCGCACAAGUAGAGUGAUCGAAAGAUGAAAAGCACUUUGAAAAGAGGGUUAAAUAGCACGUGAAAUUGUUGAAAGGGAAGCGCUUGUGACCAGACUUGCGCCAGGCUGAUCAUCCGGUGUUCUCACCGGUGCACUCUGCCUGGCUCAGGCCAGCAUCGGUUUCAGCGGGGGGAUAAAGGCCUAGGGAACGUAGCUCCCCCGGGAGUGUUAUAGCCCUGGGUGCAAUGCCCCCGCCGGGACCGAGGUUCGCGCAUCUGCUAGGAUGCUGGCGUAAUGGUCAUCAGCGACCCGUCUUGAAACACGGACCAAGGAGUCAAGGUUUUGCGCGAGUGUUUGGGUGUUAAACCCGCACGCGUAAUGAAAGUGAACGUAGGUGAGAGCUUCGGCGCAUCAUCGACCGAUCCUGAUGUAUUCGGAUGGAUUUGAGUAGGAGCGUUAAGCCUUGGACCCGAAAGAUGGUGAACUAUGCUUGGAUAGGGUGAAGCCAGAGGAAACUCUGGUGGAGGCUCGCAGCGGUUCUGACGUGCAAAUCGAUCGUCAAAUCUGAGCAUGGGGGCGAAAGACUAAUCGAACCAUCUAGUAGCUGGUUACCGCCGAAGU
rnacentral:rRNA from 1 species